rnacentral:rRNA from 1 species
AGAGUUUGAUUAUGGCUCAGGACGAACGCUGGCGGCGUGCUUAACACAUGCAAGUCGGACGGAGAUUAGCGAGGAGUUUACUUUUUGCUAACCUUAGUGGCGGACGGGUGAGUAACGCGUGGAUAACCUGCCUGACAGCCUGGGAUAACGCCGGGAAACUGGUGCUAAUACCGGAUACGUUCCUAUAGCUGCAUAGCUAGAGGAAGAAGGGGGAAACCCGCUGACAGAUGGGUCCGCGUCCCAUUAGCUAGUUGGAGGGGUAACGGCCCACCAAGGCGACGAUGGGUAGCCGGCCUGAGAGGGCGACCGGCCACACUGGAACUGAGACACGGUCCAGACUCCUACGGGAGGCAGCAGUGGGGAAUCUUCCGCAAUGGGCGCAAGCCUGACGGAGCAACGCCGCGUGAGUGAAGAAGGUUUUCGGAUUGUAAAACUCUGUCCAGGGGGAAGAAGCAAGUGACGGUACCCCUGGAGGAAGCCCCGGCUAACUACGUGCCAGCAGCCGCGGUAAAACGUAGGGGGCGAGCGUUGUCCGGAAUUACUGGGCGUAAAGGGCGUGUAGGCGGCAUGGCAAGUCCAUAGUGAAACCCGACGGCUCAACCGUCGGCUUGCUAUAGAAACUGCUAAGCUUGAGUGCAGGAGAGGGGAGUGGAAUUCCCAGUGUAGCGGUGAAAUGCGUAGAUAUUGGGAGGAACACCAGUGGCGAAAGCGGCUCCCUGGCCUGUAACUGACGCUGAGGCGCGAAAGCGUGGGUAGCAAACAGGAUUAGAUACCCUGGNAGUCCACGCCGUAAACGAUGGGUGCUAGGUGUUGUGGGUAUCGACCCC